rnacentral:rRNA from 1 species
CCUACGGGUGGCAGCAGUGAGGAAUAUUGGUCAAUGGGAGAGAUCCUGAACCAGCCAAGCCGCGUGCGGGAAGACGGCCCUAUGGGUUGUAAACUUCUUUUGUCGGAGAACAACACCCCUUACGUGUCCCGGUUUGCGUGUAUCCUAUGAAAAAGCAUCGGCUAAAUCCGUGCCAGCAGCCGCGGUAAUACGGAGGAUGCGAGCGUUAUCCGGAUUUAUUGGGUUUAAAGGGUGCGUAGGCCGGACGUUAAGCGGGCGGUGAAAUUUCCGGGCUCAACCCGGGCCUUGCAGUGGGAACUGGCAGGCUUGAGUUGGCGAGAAGUAGGCGGAAUGCGUGGUGUAGCGGUGAAAUGCUUAGAUAUGACGCAGAACUCUGAUUGCGAAGGCAGCGUGCCGGAGCCGGACUGACGCUGAGGCACGAAAGCGUGGGGAUCGAACAGGAUUAGAUACCCGAGUAGUC